CUCAAGAGCAGCUAAGUGAGCAAAUAGCAGAAACAGUUCGCCAAGAACAGAACAGUAGAAAAUCACAGACGGAGAGCUGAAGACCUUGAGAAAACAUAUUCUAACUUCUGAAGAAGAAAUUAGUAAUUACAAAGACACGAUGGUGUGCACCAUAUGGAGCUGCAACUGAGGCAGAAGAUCUCCCAUCCGUCACAAAAGGAAGUUUUAUAGCUGAUUAAGAAGAAAACUCUAGGAAAAGAAAUGUCAUUGAGCGAUGAAGACAACUGGAGACUUAGACACUUUCCUGUCCUUUCCUUCAGACACAAUGAAGAUACUAACUCUAAAUUUUCUGAAUAUCCAGUGUGAGAUGCUGCUGUCUGAUCUGUAGCAAACUGAACUUUGCUAAGAAUUACUGUGGCCAAUGUUAAUUUGCUUUGAACAGUUAAAAGUCCUUACAGAUAAGAAUUAAGAAGAGACAUGAGAAAACAAGGUUCACUUGUGUCCUGUCUCUGUCUGGGAGUUUGUGCCAAGGUCAUUCUCAUUGCAUUUAGGACAAUAGCUCCUGAGCACAUGCAAGCUGUUCUGUCUCUGAGUGAUUCAAUAACUGCUAAACUUGCCUAUGAAAAGGGGAAAGCUCUACAAGAAAGUCUGGAGACCAAUUCCUUUUAGAUCAACAUGGAAUAAUGUUAGUUCAAAUGGUUAGUUCAAAAUAAAAGAGAAAUUAUUCUCUGUUGUUGUACAUCCCAAAUGAGAGCUCUGAUAGAAAGCAUUUCACAAUUUAUUUUUGUUUAAUGUGAGGCUCCUUAUCUUUUACCCCAUUUUCCCAAAUCCUUUUACUUCAGCUGCCUAUGCAUAAAAUGAUAAUAGAGAUGUAUUCUCAUAUCUUGUAUGCUGAUAUUUAUGAAGCACUCAGACACCAUUGGUUUUAAAAUCAGUGGCUUUAUUUAUGUUGUCUUUUUUGUUGUGUCACAAUGUGAGCUGUGUUUCUCACUUUAAGUCACGUAAGCUGCUGUAUAGAGACAUUAGCUGUAGGCUGCAGAUUCAUAAUUUGCCGUUGAAUGGACUAGAAUUUCGUUCCAGGGUCUUGUUUUGAACUUAAUUAUUUUGUGGAGUGUCCAUGAUUUUUUUAAAAAUAAUUACAUGAGUAUUAAUUUGUAGGUUUUGGAAACUCAGAUAAAGUGAAAGAUAUUUUUUCAUCCAUAUCAACACUUGAAUAUUGUACUUUAUACACUAAAAGAUAAAUUAAAAGAAAUCAAAAUGUUUAAGUAUUUGUCCGCUAAUUGAUAAAAGAUAUCAUACAAACUGGGUGUUUAAAGGAAAGC